GAUGAACGCUGGCGGCGUGCCUAAUACAUGCAAGUAGAACGCUGAAGGAGGAGCUUGCUCUUCUGGAUGAGUUGCGAACGGGUGAGUAACGCGUAGGUAACCUGCCUGGUAGCGGGGGAUAAUUAUGGGAAACGUUAGCUAAUACCCCAUGACAACAUUUAUGGCAUAAUAACUGUUUAAAGGGGGAAAUUGCUCCACUACCAGAUGGACCUGCGUUGUAUUAGCUAGUUGGUGAGGUAACGGCUCACCAAGGCGACGAUACAUAGCCGACCUGAGAGGGUGAUCGGCCACACUGGGACUGAGACACGGCCCAGACUCCUACGGGAGGCAGCAGUAGGGAAUCUUCGGCAAUGGACGGAAGUCUGACCGAGCAACGCCGCGUGAGUGAAGAAGGUUUUCGGAUCGUAAAGCUCUGUUGUAAGAGAAGAACGAGUGUGAGAGUGGAAAGUUCACACUGUGACGGUAUCUUACCAGAAAGGGACGGCUAACUACGUG
rnacentral:rRNA from 1 species